GACGAACGCUGGCGGCGUGCUUAACACAUGCAAGUCGAGCGGAAAGGCCCUUCGGGGUACUCGAGCGGCGAACGGGUGAGUAACACGUGAGUAACCUGCCCCAGACUUUGGGAUAACCCUCGGAAACGGGGGCUAAUACCGGAUACGACACAGCUUCGCAUGGGGUCUGUGUGGGAAGUUUUUCGGUUUGGGAUGGGCUCGCGGCCUAUCAGCUUGUUGGUGGGGUGAUGGCCUACCAAGGCGACGACGGUUAGCCGGCCUGAGAGGGCGACCGGCCACACUGGGACUGAGACACGGCCCAGACUCCUACGGGAGGCAGCAGUGGGGAAUAUUGCACAAUGGGCGGAAGCCUGAUGCAGCGACGCCGCGUGAGGGAUGACGGCCUUCGGGUUGUAAACCUCUUUCAGCAGGGACGAAGCGUAAGUGACGGUACCUGCAGAAGAAGCGCCGGCCAACUACGUG
rnacentral:rRNA from 1 species